CUAGCUACAGGCUUAACACAUGCAAGUCGAGGGGAAACGACAUCGAAAGCUUGCUUUUGAUGGGCGUCGACCGGCGCACGGGUGAGUAACGCGUAUCCAACCUGCCCACCACUUGGGGAUAACCUUGCGAAAGUAAGACUAAUACCCAAUGAUAUCUCUAGAAGACAUCUGAAAGAGAUUAAAGAUUUAUCGGUGAUGGAUGGGGAUGCGUCUGAUUAGCUUGUUGGCGGGGUAACGGCCCACCAAGGCAACGAUCAGUAGGGGUUCUGAGAGGAAGGUCCCCCACAUUGGAACUGAGACACGGUCCAAACUCCUACGGGAGGCAGCAGUGAGGAAUAUUGGUCAAUGGGCGAGAGCCUGAACCAGCCAAGUAGCGUGCAGGAAGACGGCCCUAUGGGUUGUAAACUGCUUUUAUAAGGGAAUAAAGUGAGUCUCGUGAGACUUUUUGCAUGUACCUUAUGAAUAAGGACCGGCUAAUUCCGUGCCAGCAGCCGCGGUAAUACGGAAGGUCCGGGCGUUAUCCGGAUUUAUUGGGUUUAAAGGGAGCGUAGGCCGGAGAUUAAGCGUGUUGUGAAAUGUAGACGCUCAACGUCUGCACUGCAGCGCGAACUGGUUUCCUUGAGUACGCACAAAGUGGGCGGAAUUCGUGGUGUAGCGGUGAAAUGCUUAGAUAUCACGAAGAACUCCGAUUGCGAAGGCAGCUCACUGGAGCGCAACUGACGCUGAAGCUCGAAAGUGCGGGUAUCGAACAGGAUUAGAUACCCUGGUAGUCCGCACGGUAAACGAUGGAUGCCCGCUGUUGGUCUGAACAGGUCAGCGGCCAAGCGAAAGCAUUAAGCAUCCCACCUGGGGAGUACGCCGGCAACGGUGAAACUCAAAGGAAUUGACGGGGGCCCGCACAAGCGGAGGAACAUGUGGUUUAAUUCGAUGAUACGCGAGGAACCUUACCCGGGCUUGAAUUGCAGAGGAAGGAUUUGGAGACAAUGACGCCCUUCGGGGUCUCUGUGAAGGUGCUGCAUGGUUGUCGUCAGCUCGUGCCGUGAGGUGUCGGCUUAAGUGCCAUAACGAGCGCAACCCCUCUCCUUAGUUGCCAUCAGGUUAAGCUGGGCACUCUGGGGACACUGCCACCGUAAGGUGUGAGGAAGGUGGGGAUGACGUCAAAUCAGCACGGCCCUUACGUCCGGGGCUACACACGUGUUACAAUGGCAGGUACAGAGAGACGGUUGUACGUAAGUACGAUCAAAUUGU
rnacentral:rRNA from 1 species